rnacentral:snRNA from 1 species
CUUGAUUCCAACAACUGCUACCAUUG